UCAUAGCCUCCUAUUAAGUGAGUGAUAAUGAGUCCACUAGUUUAAUAAUCACUGGAGGCCCAAAGGCCUGGUGCUUAUUGACUAAUGGAAUUAUCAUUCAUAGUAUGAUAAUUUGGUUUGAGUCUUUCUGAUGGUGGUCAGGUUGGCCGGCCAAAGUCGGACCUGAUCAUUUAUUGGUCCGAUUCACCAAAUCAAGUAAUGUUAAUGGUUGGACCUAACC
rnacentral:lncRNA from 1 species